rnacentral:rRNA from 1 species
CCUACGGGGGGCUGCAGUGGGGAAUAUUGGACAAUGGGGGGAACCCUGAUCCAGCCAUGCCGCGUGUGUGAAGAAGGCCCUCGGGUUGUAAAGCACUUUCAGUGAGGAAGAACGCCUGGUGGUUAAUACCCAUCAGGAAAGACAUCACUCACAGAAGAAGAACCGGCUAACUCCGUGCCAGCAGCCGCGGUAAUACGGAGGGUGCGAGCGUUAAUCGGAAUUACUGGGCGUAAAGCGCGCGUAGGUGGCUUGAUAAGCCGGUUGUGAAAGCCCCGGGCUCAACCUGGGAACGGCAUCCGGAACUGUCAAGCUAGAGUGCAGGAGAGGAAGGUAGAAUUCCCGGUGUAGCGGUGAAAUGCGUAGAGAUCGGGAGGAAUACCCGUGGCGAAGGCGGCCUUCUGGACUGACACUGACACUGAGGUGCGAAAGCGUGGGUAGCAAACAGGAUUAGAUACCCUAGUAGUC